rnacentral:misc_RNA from 1 species
UGAUUAACGUCCCGACACGUUGUUAAGUUAUAUAAGGAACACGCAAGUCGCGCGCGAGCUUUAUCGUGCUUGAAUUCCCAGAGAGUAAACAUCGGAAAGGAACUUAACAUAAGCUUUCUCAAGCGCUGAAGCCAUCGACAGCAUAUAGACAAAAGAAUAGCAGGGAGGCAGACCAUAAACUGUAUGCAGGCGAUGUUGGUUUCGGGGUUUUCAGUUAUAAAGUAACACUGCUAGCGUGCGGAUCUGGACCAGCUCAAAUUGUAUUCCUGUAUUCCACUAUCAAGUCA